rnacentral:misc_RNA from 1 species
CACAACUGGUCGUGAGACUUCUUUUUUAGUUAUUGUGUUUUGUAACUUUUUGGGACAGUUGUCAAGCGUUCCUUGGGUGGUCAUUUUGUUGUGAGCUGGCGUUAUUUAAAAUUUCCUUGGUAAGUGAGAAGGCGGCAAGUAACAAUUCAUUUAUUGGAGUUAUUAAUUGCCUUUUCUCUUUAAAAACCCCUUUUUCUCUUUCUUUUCUUUUUACAUUUUCCCUUUGGUUUUUUUUGUUUCUGUAAUUUUUGGGGGUGUUUCUUCCCUGUUAUGAUCUCCUUGGCUGCUCUGUUGAAGGUAUUUUUGCACUCUGUCUCAUAUUUUUUUGUUUUCUUUUCAUUUCCAUCGGGAAAAUGAGCGACUUGAGCGAUAUUGGCAACUUAAGUGCCAUUCCCCAGUCACCUACAGUCGUCUACAGUUAGGAUUCGAGUAGCUGCGAACUAUUUUUCAAUAAGAAUCUGACAGAAGUGGUGGAGUUUCCAGAGAUUAUAGGUCCAAAUGCUGAUGGUUCGGUUCCAGAUGCCGAAGUGGGUUCGUCAAGCGGGAACAUGCCUAGGGAAGUCUCUGAGACAUUGUCUUCUUUAACUGGGUGAGAUCUUUUGGAAUCUUGUAAGACUUCUGAGAUAUUUACCGAACGAUAUCGUCUUUCGCUCGCUGGAGCAAGCGGGCUAGCUAAUAGUACAUGUCUUCAUCCUGUGCGAGUUGUGAUAUAUGAAGAACAAUUAAAGUUUGGCUUACGUUUGCCACUGAACCCUUCGGAUGUAGAAAUUUUGAAGUAUUACCAAGUAUCUGUAUCUCAAAUGCAUCAUAAUUCUUGGAGGCUUCUUUCUGGAUUUCGAGCUUUAUGCCAGAGGAGGACGUUGCACACCUCAACUAGCAUCUUCUCUGCAUUUUUUCAGCUUAACGUUCGGGAGAAUGAGGAAUACUAGCAUUUUCAUGCUUGGAAAAGGGAUGGGUUUAUUUGUCAAGCUUCCCUCAUCAUUGAAAUGGGUUUAUUUGUCGAGCUUCCCUCAUCAUUGAAAAAUUGGAAGGAUAAUUUUUGUUCGGUAUGGCUUACUGCAAUUGUUGUUCGGUAUGGCUUCUGUUCACCUUUUGGGCGAAUGAAACUUUUUCUCAGCCUUUGCCUUUACUCGACUCAUUACAUCUUUUGAUAUGCACUUUCUUUUUUGCCACAUUGAAAGUAUUUUUGUCCUUGACUUUCCAUGGUGAACAUAACUUUGACUAUUUGACUUGAUUUUUUGAGCCGGUAGUAUCAGUGAGUUUAAGUGGUGAAGAAAUUUUAGGGCAUAUAUUAAAAUAUUACUCCAUCUAUUUAUUUUUAUCCAAUCGCAUUUUGAUUUUUAUAUAAUGAUUAAGAAAAUGAUUGGAUAAUCUUAUUUUUAUAAUAACAUACUAGUGAUUAAUUAAAUCACAAUUUAUCUCACCCAAUUAAGGAUUAGUUUAAUUCUUUUGUCAUAAUUAUGGCUUCUGUUAGUGUGCCAUGAAAAUUACUAAUAAAUGAUGAUGUGGCAGCAUAAUGAGACCUAUUAGUUUGCAAAAAUCCCAAUUUACUUCAAAAUAUUUCAUUAAAUGAAGUACAUAUUUUUCUAAUUCAAUGUACGUUGAUUUCAUGACAUUGUCACAUCUUUAUUUUAUUAAGAAUUUUAAUGAAACAUUGUUGUUUUAAUCUCUAAUUGAUAAAAUUAAAAAAAAAAACUAUUUAAAAUAUUUGUUUUGUAAACUAAGCCUUGUUUAAUGUGUUUGCAGUUUAAUGAUGCUCUUAAUCAUCCUGAUACUAGGGAAAUCUGCAUUAGCACAUUGGUUGACCCAAGGCUUGGAGAUAACUAUCCAUUUGAUGUAGUUCUCAAGGUAAAACAAUGUCUAUAGCUAGGCCAUAUGAGUUAUUGCUUUAAUGAUUGGGUGGAAUUGGGUUUAACUAUAUGGCUCUCACUAGCUGUUUCAAAGGUUGAUGUGUUGCUUAAAGCUGACAAUUUUUUAUACGCUUAACAUAAUAAUAUAUAUGAUGCUACCAGGAGUUCUAAGGGCCUAGUAAUGUUACGUAAGCUUGUAAUACAAAAAAAUGAUGAGGUGGAUGGCCUUCUGGUAGGCCAUUUCAACGUUCAAAUCAGAAGACUAGAUAUGAAAGUAUUGGAAGAAUGGUAAUGAGAAUUUGAGAAUGAGAAUAUGCAUACCUAUUUCUGAUUACUUAGUUGGUAUUUAUAAGCCUCUUAUGGAAAAAAUUGUUGCUUCAUUUAUGGAGAUGAUCUUGGCUGAAUCUCUAAGAUUGUCUCUAUGAAAUCCGCUAAUUGCUGGCGUGAUUAUUGCUCAGUACGUGAGAUCUAGGUUUUGUUUGAUUAUUGGCAUGAUUGUCACUCAGUAUUUCUUUUGUCCGUUUUGUUGGGUGAAUGAAGGUAUUUUGUUCAGUCUUGUUUUAGUCCAUAGUGCUUUAUUCAGCUUGCUUGAUCUUUUGAUCAUCUAAAACAGUAUUUGACUUUUCUUACUGUUAUGUUAUAUAUUUAUGUAGAAUUUUGACUAUUUAAUUUUGAUUUUGGGCGAAUAGUAUCAAUGUACUUGUAAAUGAAUUAUGUCAAUAUAUAUUUAUAUUAAUGUCUUUAAAUGGAUGAAAAAAUAUUUUUAAGUUGUACUUAUUAAUACUUUUCUCAAUUUAUAUAUUUAAAUGAAUGAAUUGAGUGAUAUCUCAUAAGCGUUGAGAAUUUUGAUGAUUAGAAUUAGCCAUUUUUGUAUUAUAUUAGGGUAACAAACCCUAGAUAGCAUUGUUAAAUGCGUGCUUAUGUGGAUUAUUGGCUUAAAAAUCGAGGCAGGACUCUAUUGAAUUUAUUUGCAUGGUUCAAAAGUUAAAGUACUAGUAGUAAUUUAGUAAUUAAGGCCAUAUAUACAAAUGGGGUUCAAUUAGAUUUCUCUUUUUCUAUUUAUUUGUUAAAACUUUGAGAUUAAUAGGUUUAUCUUAUGCGGGAAUUUGGGUUGCAGAUGGCUCGACUUGCCCGGGCAUGCACACGUGACGAUCCGGAGUCACGUCCGAGUAUGAGAUCUGUUUUGUGCUCCUUAACGACUCUUUCAUCCCUAACAGAGGAUUGGCAAAAGAAAUUUUAGAAUAUAUCGGUUAUAUAUGUACAAUUAUUUCGUUUUAGUCAUUGAUCAUGAUAGAUUUCAUGUGAAUUCUAUCAUAAUCAGUAGAUAAAAUUUAUCCGUACCUUAAUUUUCCUCAAAUUAAGGAAUAAUAGAGUGAAGAUUAUCAUUUUACUAUAAUAAAAAAAAGGUAUAAACUUACGGUAGAUUACGUUAAAA